GACGAACGCUGGCGGCGUGCCUAAUACAUGCAAGUAGAACGCUGAAGGAGGAGCUUUCUUCUCUGGAUGAGUUGCGAACGGGUGAGUAACGCGUAGGUAACCUGCCUGGUAUCGGGGGAUAACUUUUGGAAACGAUAGCUAAUACCGCAUAAGAGUAGAUGUUGCAUGACAUGUGCUUAAAAGGUGCAAUUGCAGCACUACCAGAUGCACCUUCGUUGUAUUAGCUAGUUGGUGGGGUAACGGCUCACGAAGGCGGCGAUACAUAGCCGCCAUGAGAGGGUGAUCGGCCACACUGGGACUGAGACACGCCCCAGACUCCUACGGAAGGCAGCAGUAGUGAAUCUUCGGCAAUGGAAGGAAGUCUGAGCGAGCAAAGCCGCGGGAGUGAAGAGGAUUUUCGGAUCGUAAAGCUCUGUUGUAAGAGAGGAACGAGUGUGAGAGUGGAAAGUUCACACUGUGACGGUAUCUGACCAGAAAGGGACGGCUAACUACGUG
rnacentral:rRNA from 1 species